rnacentral:tRNA from 1 species
AGGGCUAUAGCUCAGUUAGGUAGAGCGCCUCGUUUACACCGAGAAG